rnacentral:rRNA from 1 species
UACGUAGGGUGCAAGCGUUAAUCGGAAUUACUGGGCGUAAAGCGUGCGCAGGCGGUGAUGUAAGACAGUUGUGAAAUCCCCGGGCUCAACCUGGGAAUGGCAUUUGGGACUGCAAGGCUGGAGUGCGGCAGAGGAGACUGGAAUUCCUGGUGUAGCAGUGAAAUGCGUAGAUAUCAGGAGGAAUACCGAUGGCGAAGGCAGGUCUCUGGGCUGACACUGACGCUCAUGCACGAAAGCGUGGGGAGCAAACAGG